UGGAGGAAUCUGUACGAUAGCGAUUAUUACGAUUCCAAAGAUGCAAGCGUUUUUAUCGAUUGUCUUGCUGUCUUCGCUAGUCCACGUAUCGUUUGCCAGGUUCCGAACACCGACCGAUCCUGUUUUCAGUGAUGAUGUAACCGACUAUGAUAGUUCUUCUGGAAGCGAUUAUUAUGACGUUAAGGAGUAUCCAGUGUUGCCAGGAGAACUGGAUGCCUAUCGUAAAACCAAACCUGGUGGACUGCUUCCAAGUUCCGAUACUGCUUCCAGGAAGGAGGAAGUUGUUGGAACAGAACCAAGCACUACAUCCACUGAUAAGACAACAAGAAAACCCAGGAGGCGAACUAGAGGUCGAAACCCAUCAACCAGAACCUGCAUGGAACCGCUGCUUAUGACAACUACGGCUGAACCCAGAUUGACUCAACAGCUCACCACAACCAAAGCCCCUUGGAGACGGGAAGGAGGUCGUCUCAUCAUCGAUGGGUCGGACCCGAACACCGACCUUUUAAGAUCAUGAGAGAAUCACGUCGUCUCGUAACGAAGGCUCCAAUGUUGCAGCGUAGAUUUCCCAUGAGGGACAUUGUUGGUAAUGAGAUCAAACCAGAAAGCGCCUCCAAUCGGUUACUCGUUCUGGGCAGCGUGAGAGGUUGUCGGGAAACCAAACGGGAAGAUUAUGAGCACAAGGUCGAGAGUAGCCGGAUUGUAAAUCCGGAUCCGAAAGUAACCGGAAUUACUGUGGAAAUUCCACCCGAGAUAACUCGGUCCACGUAUAAGUUUGAUCCGGUUUCAACUGGAGGGAUGGCGCUUGAGUUUAAUACGUUUGAUGGUGAGCGAGGGACAGUCAAGUUGAAAUGGUACAGCUGUCCUACAAGGAGAAACGGUAGAAACUGAUUUGUAGGGAGCGGG